UGCAUCAUUAUUAUUUCCAUUUCAAUUGUUUGUAUUUAACCGGAGGUCCGGAGCUAGACUGAUGGGUUCGGUGUACUUACCUCGAGCAAGUUCAUCAUCAAGCUGACCAUCUCUAGUGAGAGUCAUCAUCAAUUGAGGUAACCCAAGAGGGAGAUUAUCACCUUUAUCGAUUUGCCAAAAAUGGAUGGUCUUCCCAUAAGUCUUGCAAACUUUUUCCAGAUCUUGCCUCUCGAUCGGCCCCGGAACUCGCGGCAUAAACAACACCCCACUCUUCACUUCGUACAAAUGUGAAUGCCAAAGCGGCUUCUCUUCGUCCGGCAACGUCAAAAACAAAUUCUCCGAUAUGAUGUACUCCAAUCCGAUGAGCUUUGCAUCGGCUUCGGGGUUGUCGUAUAUGAGACAUUGUCGCAUUUCUUCGUUUUGAUGUGCGCAGAAAUGGUGCGCUUGCACUUGACGGGUCAUGUCGUAGCCAUAGAAAUGAAAUCUACAACAAAAUUUAGAAUUUUAACUAUUUCUUUCUGGACUAGUACUCAGAUCAGUCAGUCAGACCGACCAACGGAUCUGGUGGAGUUUAAACAAACAUUGGUGCUAACUAGCCGGAAUUAGCAACGUUUUUUUAUGCAUCAACGUCGCUAAAACGCUGUUCUUUUCUUUUAGCUACAUUUUAAAUCGUAAUGUAACAUCGCAAAAGCGUAAUUAAAUGCAGAUUUUGCUGUAACGAUAAAAAAGUGAUAUCAACUUAAACAAACAUUGAAACAUAACAGGAAAUGAAGAUUAGAAGGGGGAAUUACGCGCAGAGGUGUUGAUGGAUUUGUUUGAUAGGGCGGAAGCUUUGGAUGGCGCCGGUGGCGGUCUCGACGAGGGAAGUGGUGGUUUGGGUGGGCUCGCCUGGAACUUGAGGGUGAUACAUGGUUUAAUUUUUUGGUUGGCUAAUUAGCGGUUUGGGAUUUAAGGAUCGGCGGAGGGUUUUAAGCUGCCGUGAUCGAAGAUUGAGAGUGUUGCUGGUGCAUGCAGAGUUACGCGUGGAAAGGGAUACCAUAGACGUGGCAAUGAACAUCGCUUCUAUUGACAGCUAUAAUCUAUAUAUACACCCCCAACCCCCAUCAACUGAACUCAAAUUUUUCUAGGCAUCGUUUAUUUAGGUAAAACAUAUUUUUCAUUACCACGAGAGCAAAGAAUCAUUGCAUCAUAAUUGAUGAUUGACUAUCUCAUUAGUUGAGAAGAUCGUGGUAAUGUAUUGACGUCUUUUUUUUGUUCGAGACCCAAUUCAAGAAAACAAGUUCUUUUCUCCCUCAUAAAAUUUAAGUUUACUAGCCUCACGACCUUCGUUUGGUAUGGGAUUAAAGUUCUCAAUCACUUUCUCUGUUCAAUGUAACUAGGUAUGGGACUUUGUUGUUCUUUGUCUUUAAGAGAUUUUUGUUCAGUUUUAUUUCUACUUUUUUUUUAAAUGAAAUGAAUAUUCAAUAAGAAAAUAAAAUCUUAAAUGGUUAAUAUUAAAUAUAUUUUUAUUUUUAUUUAAACCUAAUUAUUAAUAUAUAUAUCUUAAAUGAUUAAAUUGAUAUCAUCCAUCAAUCAAUAAGAUUUCAAUUCAGUUGGUAAUUUAUAAAAUAACAAAGGUGUAAUGUCAAAUUCGCUCUUAAUAUUUAUAACUUUUGAGAUUUUGAUCAUUCUCUUUUUAAGCUCUUUAACCCUCAUUAUUACGUAUUUGAUCAUUCUCUUUUUAAGCUCUUUAACCCUCAUUAUUACGUAAAAUUUCUGAUAAGUGGCAAAAACAAUGGACAUUUAGAAUAUAAAAUAAUUAUAUCCUAAAUUUCAAAUGAAAUACCAAUAAACUAUAUUAAAAUAUUAAAUUUAAUAACAAAGUCUUCAUCUAUGGGAAAGGAUAUUUGUAAGAAAUCAGGAUAUCAUUUUAUUUAUGUUAGUAUUUUCAUCCCAUAAAAAUUAAAUCCAAAUUAAAAUCUCAACACAAAAUUAUUCAAAAGAGAUAAUAUCUUUCCCGUUAACUUUAAUUAAGUGUUUAGAAGAAGUCUAGUUACAUUUAUUUCAACCAUUUUCAACUUAUUGAUGUAUAUCAACAUGUGGUAGAAUAAAUAUCAGAUAUAUCAAAUUAGAUUUGAUAUUAAAUAUAUAUAUCGAAAAUACACAAAUAAUUAAGAAAAAACAAAUAUGUUAUUUAUAUCCAGUACAUCACACAAAUAUCAAAAUUACAACAACAUAAACAUGAGGGACAAUGGUAGAUUCUGUUCUUUGAUCACAUCAGUUUCACCUCGUAAUUGCUGUUAAGAAAGGUAUACUCAAAAGAUACGAUGAUUCAAACGAAGACCCGGGGAACUGAAUCAGCAGGCUUACAAUCCACCUCCCUGAGUUUAGGGAUCAGCCCUUUCCCACCACCAUUUGCCAAUGGAUGAAUCCCAUGUGUUGGACCCGUCAACUCAGCUCUCUUCGCCCUUUCUUUCUCAAAUGAUACCCCAAAUCGCUUCUCCACAUCUGCCAUUCAUUUAUUCAUUCAGAUACCCCAAAUCCAAAUCAUAAAAAAAAAAAAAACACACUUCGAUUAUUACCUCGACCGAGUUCUUCAUCGAGCUGACCAUCUCUAGUGAGAGCCAUCAUCAAUUGAGGUAACCCAAGAGGGAGAUUAUCACCUUUAUCGACUUGCCAAAAAUGGAUGGUCUUCCCAUAAGUCUUGCAAACUUUGUCCAGACCAUGCCUCUCGAUCGGCCCCGGAACUCGC
rnacentral:lncRNA from 1 species